GUGCUCAUAUGAAUUUGAUAAGUAUUUACUCAUAUUCUUUUGGUAUAUAUACAACUCAAUGUGUGUAGACAUGUUCUAAAAUCAACAUGUGCUCACAUACUCGUGGUACGUUAUACAUGCUCCAUGUAUGUAUUCAUACUCCCUCGGCAAAUAUAUGCAUCCUCAUAUUUAUUUUGGAUCAUACAUUAUUAUAAUUCUAAAGGUAAAAAUUGAAAAGAGAAAAUAACUAAGGGUAAAAUGGACCUUUUAUAUUAGUUUCAUACUAAUUUGGAGCCACAUAUCAGUACAAGGAUGAGUUUGACCCAGAAACGAAAGUUGAGGGACUAAAUUGGUCAAUCUAAAAGUUGAGGGAUGAAAUUGACCCUCUGUGUAAAGUCCCAGGACUAAGAUGCCUAUUUUGCCAUUUCUUUCAAAACUAACGUGGAUUGAACCAUGGUGUGUUUGCUGGUGUCUGGUGAGCCAUUGGAGGAAUUUUACAGGGCGGUCAAUCUUUUGUUUCAGAGAGCCACCUAAUAAAAGAUUUAUGAUCGAAACAAUACGAAGAUCCCCCUAUAAAUCCUAUCAUCGAGCCUGAGACCCUACCCAUAUUUUCCGGUUACCAACCAGCAAGAAGAGAAACGAAUACGAGGAGAGGUAGUGGAGCGGUAGAGCCCUGUCUUUAGUGCAGCCAUAAAUUAUCCCCUCUCCCGCAUUGAGAAUUUGGGAAGACGGGGCAGCAGGGGCGCAGCAGCAAUGCAGAAAGGAGGAAGAAACUUUUAAAGCGGCAGCAAGCAGCGAGAGAGGAAGAGGAGCAUG
rnacentral:lncRNA from 1 species